AAGACCUUGCGCUUUUGGAGCGGCCGAUGUCUGAUUAGCUUGUUGGUAAGGUAAAAGCUUACCAAGGCUUCGAUCAGUAGCUGGUCUGAGAGGACGACCAGCCACACUGGGACUGAGACACGGCCCAGACUCCUACGGGAGGCAGCAGUGGGGAAUUUUGGACAAUGGGGGCAACCCUGAUCCAGCCAUGCCGCGUGAGUGAAGAAGGCCUUCGGGUUGUAAAGCUCUUCCAGCCGGAACGAAACGGUUACGGUUAAUACCCGUGACUACUGACGGUACCGGAAGAAGAAGCACCGGCUAACUACGUGCCAGCAGCCGCGGUAAUACGCAGGGUGCAAGCGUUAAUCGGAAUUACUGGGCGUAAAGCGUGCGCAGGUGGUUUUGUAAGUCAGAUGUGAAAUCCCCGGGCUUAACCUGGGAACU
rnacentral:rRNA from 1 species